UACGUAGGAGACGAGCGUUGUCCGGAGUUACUGGGCGUAAAGGGUGCGCAGGUGGCGGCGCGCGUGGGGGGUGAAAUCGCCCGGCUUAACUGGGCGGGGGCCUUCCAGACGGCGUGGCUUGAGCAGCGGAGGGGGACGUGGAAUUCCGGGUGGAGCGGUGAAAUGCGUAGAGAUCGGGUGGAACACCAGCGGCGAAGGCGGCAUCCUGGCCCUGUACUGACGCUGAGGCGCGAUAGCGUGGGGAGCAAACGGG
rnacentral:rRNA from 1 species